UACGGAGGAUCCGAGCGUUAUCCGGAUUUGUUGGGUUUAAAGGGAGCGUAGGCGGAGGAUCAAGUCAGCUGUGAAAUGUAGACGCUCAACGUCUGCACUGCAGUUGAAACUGGUCCCCUUGAGUGCGUAAGGGGCAGGCGGAAUUCGUCGUGUAGCGGUGAAAUGCUUAGAUAUGACGAAGAACUCCGAUCGCGAAGGCAGCUUGCCGGGCCGAAACUGACGCUAAAGCUCGAGAGUGCGGGUAUCGAAC
rnacentral:rRNA from 1 species